CCAUGUCAGAGUAAUAAAGUAAGAACUCCGAGGGGGCAGAUCCUGGGACUUCUUGCAUCCUCCUUGGCCUCGGCGAAGUCACCUCUUUCCGAACAGGGACACUGAGAUCAGCUCUAAGUGAACGCAUACAGUCUGAGUCCAUCCAAAGCAAGAUAUGAGAAAGGUGAGGCAUCCCUAGCAGAAGGCCAACCAGGUUCUGUGACUCGAUAUAUAUGUUAAUGACCAUCAGGCUGAAAAAACCCUGGGCAU